GACGUUGGCUGGAAAGCACCUGGACUGGGCGUUAGAGAGAGACCAUUGAUAUCGGUGUAUUGUGACAAGGAUGGAAGUUUAAAGGCAAAACAUUGGUUUUCUGAACUGAUUGUAUGUGUUUUCUUGUGGUGAUUACUGAUUUUCAAACAAUUUACUGAGUAUAUCCAACAGAGGCGAUCCAUAACAUACAGUGGAGGUGAUGAUAUUGGGUUAUUCACCUACCCAAUGAUUUACUGAGUGUUUGUUGGUGUUCCGGUGCUUAUUUUAGUACUAAUAAACAAUUUGAAGUAUCUCUGCUUCGAGAGUAGCUUAUAAUUGUGUUGUUAUAUCCAAAAAAGGGUUGGACGUGACAUUUAAUAGGUUUCCGAGAAAUUGAAUUGAAUGGGUGAUGGAAAUAUGGAGUAAAGACAAAAACCUUCUGCCACAACCGUAAUAUGUAGUAAUCACUUCAAAACAGAGGAAUUUUAUGUCAAUCCAUAUAUGGAACCAAAGUUUUGAAGGAAGGAGCCAUACAAUUUUGAUAUUGAGAACAUGUGUUACUAAAAUAAUAAUGAAUACUGUACAGCAAAUUCCUGCCAUUCAUAAAUACGGAGUUAUGAAUUUUUGACCAUGUUAUUCCAGUUUCGAAGCCCUGAUUCGAAUCUCUUCGUCGGAUGUUACACAUAAUUUUUUUAUAUUGAUAUUUAUUAUAUGUUUUUUUUCAUAUGUGCUUGCAUAUUUGACGAUAAAAGGAAUAUAAUAAACCCAUGUAUAAAAUU